rnacentral:lncRNA from 1 species
GCGCUCGGGCUGCCGCUGGCUCUUCGCACGCGGCCAUGGCCGACUCCGAGCUGCAGCUGGUUGAGCAGCGGAUCCGCAGCUUCCCCGACUUCCCCACCCCAGGCGUGGUAUUCAGGCUGAGCUGGAGAUUCAGAAAGACGCCCUGGAGCCAGGACAGAGGGUGGUCGUCGUGGAUGAUCUGCUGGCCACUGGUGUAUGAGUGACCACAGGGCCUCCCAGCCCAACAUCUCCAGCUGGAUCCCAGGGAAAUAUCAGCCUUGGGCAACUGCAGUGACCAGGGGCACCGGCUGCCCACAGGGAACACAUUCCUUUGCUGGGGUUCAGCGCCUCUCCUGGGGCUGGAAGUGCCAAAGCCUGGGGCAAAGCUGUGUUUCAGCCACACUGAACCCAAUUACACACAGCGGGAGAACGCAGUAAACAGCUUUCCCAC